GAUGAACGCUAGCGGCAGGCUUAAUACAUGCAAGUCGUGGGGCAGCAUGACUGUAGCAAUACAGUUGAUGGCGACCGGCAAACGGGUGCGGAACACGUACGCAACUUACCCAAAACUGGUGAAUAGCCCUCCGAAAGGAGGAUUAAUACACCGUAACCUAUUGAGAUGGCAUCAUUUUAAUAGUAUAGCUCCGGCGGUUUUGGAUGGGCGUGCGGCUGAUUAGGUAGUUGGUAGAGGUAA
rnacentral:rRNA from 1 species